GCCUGGGUAGCUCAGUGGUUGAGCAUCUGCCUUUGGCUCAGGUCAUGAUCCCAGAUUCCGGGAUCAAGUCCCGCAUCAGGCU
rnacentral:tRNA from 1 species